GCGCGAUGUGGGACACCAACUUGACCAUGUACUACUGGAGUAAUACUACAGUACUCUAUAUAUAUAUAUACACUACUCUCUACCUGUCUGUCUUUGACUAACGGUUUGUAUCUAUGUCUCUCUACAUGUCUGUCUCUCUCUCUACAUGUCUGUCUCUCUCUCUACAUGUCUGUCUCUCUCUCUCUCAUGUCUGUCUCUCUCUCUCUCAUGUCUGUCUCUCUCUCACUCAUGUCUGUGUCUCUCUCUACAUGUCUCUCUCUCUCUACAUGUCUCUCUCUCUCUCUCUACAUGUCUGUCUCUCUCUCUACAUGUCUGUCUCUCUCUCUACAUGUCUGUCUCUCUCUCUCUACAUGUCUGUCUCUCUCUCUACAUGUCUCUCUCUCUCUACAUGUCUGUCUCUCUCUCUCUCUCUACAUGUCUGUCUCUCUCUCUACAUGUCUGUCUCUCUCUCUCUACAUGUCUGUCUCUCUCUCUCUACAUGUCUGUCUCUCUCUCUACACGCCUGUCUGCAGGUUCGACGCGGUCACCCAUAACUGCUACACCUACUGCCUGGGCUUCAUCAACCGGGUCCUGGAGGUCGAAGGUCGCGGGCCCCUGACCCCGGAGCAGUUCACCGAGCGCUACGUCUUGCCACGCACCACCAGGGCGCACAGGUUCAACGGCCUCCUUCAGGUCCUCAAGAAGAAGCCCUACCACCUGCUGGAGAGACAGACGGGUAGCGAGAGAGGCAGCCUGGCAGGGAGCGACACAGGCAGCCAGGUCAAGAGUGAGACAGGCAAGUAGAGAGAGAGAGACUGGUAGCGAGAGAGAGACAGGCAAAGAGAGAGAGAGAGACUGGUAGCGAGAGAGAGACAGGCAAGUAGAGAGAGAGAGACUGGUAGUGAGAGAGAGACAGGCAAGUAGAGAGAGAGAGACAGGUAGUGAGAGAGAGACAGGCAAAGAGAGAGAGACUGGUAGUGAGAGAGACAGGCAAGUAGAGAGAGAGAGAGACUGGUAGUGAGAGAGAGACAGGCAAGUAGAGAGAGAGAGACUGGUAGCGAGAGAGAGACAGGCAAGUAGAGAGAGAGAAACGGGUAGUGAGAGAGAGACAGGCAAGUAGAGAGAGAGAGACGGGUAGUGAGAGAGAGACAGGCUUUUAGAGUAUGGUGACUUCCUAUAUCACUACCAUAUGACACUACUGUCCUAUACUACUACCAUACUACUAUAUAUGAUACUACUGCCCUAUACUACUACCAUAUGAUACUACUGCCAUAUACAGUAUACUACUACCAUAUGAUGCUACUAUACAUGAUACAAAAUCCUAUAGUACCAGAUGACACUACUGUCCUAUACUACUACCAUAUGAUACUACUAUAUAUGAUACUACUGCCCUAUACUGCUACCAUAUGAUACUACUGCCAUAUACUA
ensembl:lncRNA